GGGCGUGACGUUUAUCGGAUCUUUGGGCGUAAGCGAGCGCAGGCGGUUUUUUAAGUCUGAUGUGAAAGCCUUCGGCUCAACCGAAGAAGUGCAUCGAGAAACUGGGAAACUUGAGUGCAGAAGAGGACAGAGGAACUCCAUGUGUAGCGGUGAAAUGCGUAGAUAUAUGGAAGAACACCAGUGGCGAAGGCGGCUGUCUGGUCUGUAACUGACGCUGAGGCUCGAAAGUAUGGGUAGCAAACAGGAUUAGAUACCCUGGUAGUCCAUACCGUAAACGAUGAAUGCUAAGUGUUGGAGGGUUUCCGCCCUUCAGUGCUGCAGCUAACGCAUUAAGCAUUCCGCCUGGGGAGUACGGCCGCAAGGCUGAAACUCAAAGGAAUUGACGGGGGCCCGCACAAGCGGUGGAGCAUGUGGUUUAAUUCGAAGCUACGCGAAGAACCUUACCAGGUCUUGACAUACUAUGCAAAUCUAAGAGAUUAGACGUUCCCUUCGGGGACAUGGAUACAGGUGGUGCAUGGUUGUCGUCAGCUCGUGUCGUGAGAUGUUGGGUUAAGUCCCGCAACGAGCGCAACCCUUAUUAUCAGUUGCCAGCAUUAAGUUGGGCACUCUGGUGAGACUGCCGGUGACAAACCGGAGGAAGGUGGGGAUGACGUCAAAUCAUCAUGCCCCUUAUGACCUGGGCUACACACGUGCUACAAUGGAUGGUACAACGAGUUGCGAACUCGCGAGAGUAAGCUAAUCUCUUAAAGCCAUUCUCAGUUCGGAUUGUAGGCUGCAACUCGCCUACAUGAAGUCGGAAUCGCUAGUAAUCGCGGAUCAGCAUGCCGGGGGAGAAAACCUUUCCCGGGCCCUUGUACACACCGCCCGUCACACCAUGAGAGUUUGUAACACCCAAAGUCGGUGGGGUAACCUUUUAGGAACCAGCCGCCUAAGGUGGGACAGAUGAUUAGGGUGAACUAGAAAGGAAAACCCCCCACAACACAAAAAAAAGGGAUGUU
rnacentral:rRNA from 2 species